rnacentral:misc_RNA from 1 species
CUUUUUUUUUUUUUACCGAUAAUCAUUGUAGUGUUCAAAUCACAAUCAAUGCCAUUAUAAAUUUUCAAUCUAAUGUUGCCGGGCCUUUUUUCUCUCAAGUUUUCGCCGAGUAUGUUUCCGGUGCUUUCCUAUCCCUUCAGGGAGGGAAAGGUGUCUUUUUCCAACUUAACUAUAGGCUUCCCUCCCUAUCCCUAGUCCGAUUAUUUAUAAUUUGCUUUGGGUUGAUCUUUGAGGGCAGAUCUUCUUUCUUCAUGGUGAGAAAUUCCUGUAAAGGUUUGAUUUUUAUAAGAGUCGAUAAUGGAGUUCUGUUUUGGGUGGCUAUUUUAUGGGUUCGAUUUUUUCGCUUUGCUUGGUGGGAGGGACUUAAUUGCUACAACAGUGGUAUCUCUGGAGACUUGAAGUUCCUUCUUCUUUGAUAGAGCUGUCCCUCAAGGCUACAUGAGAUUUAAUGGCUGGUGAGUUCUACUAAGUCAACCUCUCGGAGCCUUAUUGCGUUUUUGUGUUGGUUGGGUCCUUAAGGUCCAGUGUUGGUGGGUUUGGGUGCCUUCGGUUCUAGAUUUUAGUGGCUUUUUGAGUCUCUGCUCUAAUAGUCAACAUGUUAUUCUUCCUUGUUAGCGAAAUUGAUUGGUGCAGGUAGAAGGCAGCGGCGCCGGCAUGGCUGAGUGAUUUGAUCUUUCCUGUUUUGCCUAGGGUUCCUAGGUUAAAGUGUGCUUAGUUGCUAUUGGUUUUGUUGAGUUCCUUUGCAUUGUCUUGUUCUUUGGGCCUAUAGAUUUCUUCUGUUACUGUAUUAUGGGCUAAGAAUGUAAUGUGUUGCCAUGAGAAGGCCUUAUAAUGCAAUGGAUAUAUUAGCAGUUGAAAAAAAAAAAUUAGUGUCGUUGCAUAUGCGUGCAUAAAAAAUUAAUACAAUAUAAACCACUCAUCCCAUUUAUAAAUUAGAUGGGAUUUUUUUUUUGUUGCAUCAAUGCUAUUUAAUAUCUCUCAAAGAGAGAACUUUUCUCUUGUUUAGCUUGUUUCCUAUGGAUUUGCCUUGUUGGUGUAUUGAAUGCGGGUUUUGAGCUUAAUGGGUGAGAUUUUCUUGUUCCUGCUAGUGAGCUUCUAUGGUGAUUUUCGUUUCCCACUGAGGACAGGUAUCUCGGGGAUGCUACGGUGGCGUUUUUGUGUCCUCUCGAUCCCUUCCAGCCAAGCAUAUUGCGUUGAGGCUGGAGUUCUUCCCCCUCUGUCUUGUUGCUUCCAAGACAGACGCUUCUGGAUGCUACUGUGUUCUAAUUGGUUGUUCCUUUGUCCCUGAUUCCUAGGUUACUGUUCUUGAGGACCUUUCUAAAGCCCAUCACAGCCAUGUUAGGUCCCCAGCUAUGCUUUAGAUGAACGGGUCUUCACCUGAUUUUAGCUUGGCUUGACGAUUUGUGCAAAACAGAGCUCUCCCUCCAAGUUUGAGAAUAGUUGUAUAGAUUUGGAUUUUAUGUAGGCUGGUUGAAUCCUUGUAUUGCUAGAGCUAAGUUUUAGGCAAUGGGCCAUUCAUGGACUGGGCCUUUUGUAAGCAAUGAAAGUGUUCAGAGAAAAAAAAAAUUGCUAUGUAAGUUUAAAAAAUAAGAAAAAACAAUAUAUAUUGAGUUUAUUCCUAAAAUCACAUUUCAAAUAUUUAAAAUUUAGAUUUGGUCUGUGUAUGAG